rnacentral:rRNA from 1 species
UCGGGUUGUAAAGCACUUUUGUCCGGAAAGAAAACUUCUGCCCUAAUACGGCGGGAGGAUGACGGUACCGGAAGAAUAAGCACCGGCUAACUACGUGCCAGCAGCGCGGUAAUCGUAGGGUGCGAGCGUUAAUCUGAAUUACUGGGCGUAAAGCGUGCGUAGGCGGUUCGUUAAGACAGAUGUGAAAUCCCCGGGCUUAACCUGGGAACUGCAUUUGUGACUGGCGAGCUAGAGUAUGGCAGAGGGGGGUAGAAUUCCACGUGUAGCAGUGAAAUGCGUAGAGAUGUGGAGGAAUACCGAUGGCGAAGGCAGCCCCCUGGGCCAAUACUGACGCUCAUGCACGAAAGCGUGGGGAGCAAACAGGAUUAGAUACCCUGGUAGUCCACGCCCUAAACGAUGUCAACUAGUUGUUGGGUCUUCAUUGACUUAGUAACGUAGCUAACGCGUGAAGUUGACCGCCUGGGGAGCACGGUCGCAAGAUUAAAACUCAAAGGAAUUGACGGGGACCCGCACAAGCGGUGGAUGAUGUGGAUCAAUUCGAUGCAACGCGAAAAACCUUACCUACCCUUGACAUGGUCGGAACCCUGCUG